rnacentral:rRNA from 1 species
AGGACGAACGCUGGCGGCGUGCUUAACACAUGCAAGUCGAGCGGAAAGGCCCUUCGGGGUACUCGAGCGGCGAACGGGUGAGUAACACGUGAGCAACCUGCCCUUAGCUCCGGGAUAGCUCCGGGAAACCGGAAUUAAUACCGGAUACGACCACGGCCGACAUCUGCUGUGGUGGAAAGGAUUCCGGCUAAGGAUGGGCUCGCGGCCUAUCAGCUAGUUGGUGGAGUAACGGCCCACCAAGGCGACGACGGGUAGCCGGCCUGAGAGGGCGACCGGCCACACUGGGACUGAGACACGGCCCAGACUCCUACGGGAGGCAGCAGUGGGGAAUAUUGCGCAAUGGGCGAAAGCCUGACGCAGCGACGCCGCGUGGGGGAUGAAGGCCUUCGGGUUGUAAACCCUUUCAGCAGGGACGAAGCGAAGUGACGGUACCUGCAGAAGAAGCGCCGGCUAACUACGUGCCAGCAGCCGC